ACCACGUGACCCUCCCUAUAUCAACACACGGACGCCAUUAAUAUUAAAGGCAGAGAGACGGAAAAUCAGAGGGUGCAGUUUAGAGAUGGAUUCGAAAUCUCGUCGGUUUCCGUUUGCUGUCUCCAGCUCUUCCUCGCUGUCAUCGCCGUCCUCGCUCUCCUCCUCAUCUUCAGCGCUCAGUGCGAGCAGACUCUAUGGCAGAGGGAGCGUAUUGGGAAGAGAUCGCUUUAGCAGAGAAGCUUCUGUCAAAUUAGACUCCGACUAUCAGAGCCCUCGUCUGCUGAGCUCUCCAAGAGGUUACAAUUCAACUGAAAGCCGUCACUCCAACUGGAAGCUCUCUACUCCUGUCUCUCUGUCUUCAUCAUCAUCGUCAUCUUCAUGUGAUCGAACAUGGACAGGAUCCACCAGUGGGGACCGAAGCAGACUUACCGACUCUGAGAGAAGACCGGGAACCUACUGUGGACUUCUUGGCACAUCCCAAGACAGCGAGUCUAAAAGAGCAAAACUUUCCUACACGAAUAGAGCAGGAUAUCCCAGAACCCCAUCGGCACCUAAACUUGCCAGUUCUUAUUCCACUUUAGGAAAUUCUUCAUGGAAAUCCUCCAUCAGUCCUUUGUCUAGAUCCUCUUCAUCAUCCCCCUCCUCAUCUUUGUCCACUCCAUCAGAGGGUCUUUGGGCUCGCAGAGAUUUGGAGAAGAGGGGGGAUUCAGGACUGACCUCACUGGGGGAGUCUAGUUACCGGCCUAGCGGGUUGACAUCUUCACUGUACCGCUCUGAUCGUGUUACCUCCACCUAUGCACAAGGUGCUCGACCCAAAGAAAGCCAAUAUUUAUCCCACAGAGAGAAUGGUUCAUCUAGUCGACGUAUCUCAGCCGAGUAUCUCCCUUCUCCUCUGGAGCGCAGCUCCUACAGGAUGACCUCAGAUUACCAGUCUGGUCCAUUCUCUCGUGAUAUGCCACGCUCCAGCUCUAGCUCCACCAGAACCACAGCCUCUGUCUCGGAACCAUCCCAGCGCUCAUCCUGGAGCUCCACCCCUUACACGCCCCUCACUGACUGUAGCUCCAGCCCUCCUUCCUCUAGCCCCGCCCCCACUCCACUUCCCGCUCAGAAUGGCGGUGAUUCAGAUGGCAGGCGAACAACCAGGCGUCUGCUAUCUCGGCUUUUCUCCCGACGCUCCAGUCAGGAAUCAAACUCUACCACCAGCUCUGCCUCUGAUUCAAGGUCAUAUGACUCAAGCCCAGAUGAAGCCCCAACCUCUGAAGCUUCUCCUCCUGUCAAUAGAGAAAAUUUGGAAGCGGAGUUGAGGAGCUUGCGCAGACGCGGACCAGCUCUCGCUCCAGUACAGGAGAGCUCUGUAGUAGAGCCCGCACAGGAAUCGAUCAGAUCUCCGACAGGCCUGUCCUGGCUGAACUGGAACCGCUGUACCCCACUGUUUUCUCGACGCAGGAGGGAAGGGCGUGAUGAAAGCGCCCGCAUGGACCCUCAUCGUUCAACCCAAUUCCCUCUUGGUGACCGAGAUGGCCGUAAAACACCCGACCGGGCCACAAAUUGUGAUGAUGAUGAUGAAGAGGAGUCCUCUGAGGGUGCCACAUCAGCAUCCUCUUCUGGAGCCUCAGGUCUCUCUGCAUCACUACUGCAGGACGGAGUCCGUCUGGCAGGACGAAGCCAUAGCAUGGGCAGACUGAUGACCAGCCCACUCUUCCGUAUGCCUGAGAAUAUGAUAAUUGGGGUGGGAGUGGGAGCAGAAGGGAGGAGUCAAACUGAUGAGCAGCCCGCCCCCUCCAGAGACCCAGAGAGACUGCGAAAGAUUCAGGAGAGCCUGCUGUUGGAGGACUCUGAUGAGGAGGAGGGUGAUCUGUGCCGAAUCUGUCAGAUGGGGGAGCAGUCGAGUUCCAACCCUCUGAUCGAGCCCUGCAAGUGCACUGGCAGCCUGCAGUUUGUGCACCAGGACUGCAUUAAGAAAUGGCUCCGCUCCAAAAUCAGCUCUGGUUCUAACUUGGAGGCAAUCACUACCUGUGAACUUUGUAAGGAAAAACUUCACCUGAACAUUGAGAACUUUGAUAUCAAUGAGCUCUACAGAUCUCACGAAAGGUCGGAGUACGAGUUCAUCAGCUGCGGGCUGUACCUGGUGGUGCUCCUGCAUCUGUGUGAGCAGAGGUUUUCUGAUGUCCUGGGUGCUGUAAAUGAUGCUGGGGUUCAUAUGCAGAAUCUGAUGAAGAUGAGGUGGAGGACAGCAGGCCGUCCAUCGACUUCUGUGACUUGGAGGAUGAUGAUGAAGAAGAGGAGGAGGUUUAAUGUGUUGGCAGGGAUGGAGGCGUGGCUUAGUCUGUCUCAGCAUCCUCCCACUUGCUCUUCUUGACCUGUGUCCUCCUGUGUCACUGUUCUUAGCCUAUCACAAGGCUUUCAUAAUAUGCAGAUCGUCUACAAACUGUAUGGGAGCUGUUUGAAUACUGUUGUUGUUGUUAGGAUCUUGGAUGAUUCAUACUUUUACACGAGGAAUGUUCAUCCACUCAUUUAUAGAACCGAUUGAAAAGAUCAUGUUUGUUAUCAAUGUCUUUAUUUUAAAAAAUAAAUAAGACCCUUAAUUUCCUGGUUUUUGUUUUUAUGUUAUUAAUACACUUUUUGUUUUUGGAGAAUGAGGUUGAAUGAGAAAAUGUGGUCACCUUUUUUUUUUUUUUCUCUCUCAAGACUUUCUCUUUACAGAAGACCUUUUCCACAGUCUGUUUGUAUGUUGUACAUUGUUAUAAUGUAAUUCGCUUGAAUUAUUACAAUAAAAUGGAGGUAUUUCAAUACCCCACAAAAAAC